rnacentral:sRNA from 1 species
UUACCGACCUACGUAUCGCGUCUGCGAAC